rnacentral:lncRNA from 1 species
AAUCCCAUGAACCACAGCACACCAGGCCUCCCUGUCCAUCACCAACUGCUGGAGUACACCCAAACCUAUGUCCAUUGAGUCAAUGAUGCCAUCCAACCAUCUCAUCCUCUGUCGUCCCCUUCCCCUCCUGCCUUCAAUCUUUACCAGCAUCAGGGUCUUUUCAAAUGAGUCAUCUCUUCACAUCAGGUGCCCAAAGUAUUGGAGUUUCAGCUUCAACAUCAGUCCUUCCAGUGAACACCCAGGACUGAUCUCCUUUAGGAUGGACUAGUUGGAUCUCCUUGCAGUCCAAGGGACUCUCAAGAGUCUUCUCCAACACCACAGUUCAAAAGCAUCAAUUCUUCGGCACUCAGCUUUCUUUAUAGUCCAACUCUCACAUCCAUACAUGACUACUGGAAAAACCAUAGCCUUGACUAGACAGAUUUUGAUGACAAAGUAAUGUCUCUGCUUUUUAAUAUGCUAUAUAGGUUGGUCAUAACUUCCUUCCAAGGAGUAAGCGUCUUUUAAUUUCAUGGCUGCAGUCACCAUCCGCAGGGAUUUUGGAGCCCCCAAAAAUAAAGUCUGACACUGUUUCCACUGUUUCCCCAUCUAUUUGCCAUAAAGUGAUGGGACCAGAUGCCAUGAUCUUAGUUUUCUGAAUGUUGAGCUUUAAGCCAACUUUUUCACUCUCCUCUUUCACUUUCAUCAAGAGGCUCUUUAGUCCUUCUUUGCUUUCUGCCAUAAGGGUGGUGUCAUCUGUGUAUCUGAGGUUAUUGGUAUUUCUCCCAGCAAUCUUUAUUCCAGCUUGGGCUUCCUCCAGGCCUCCAGGGUUUCUCAUGAUGUACUCUGCAUAUAAGUUAAAUAAUCAGGGUGACAGUAUACAGCCUUGACGUACUCCUUUCCCUAUUCAGAACCAGUCUGUUGUUCCAUGUCCAGUUCUAACUGUUGCUUCCUGACCUGCAUACAGAUUUCUCAAGAGGCAGAUCAGGUGGUCUGGUAUUCCCAUCUCUUGAAGAAUUUUUCACAGUUUAUUGUGAUCCACACAGUUAAAGGCUUUGGUAUAGUCAAUGUUUCAAAUUAUUACUACAAUUUCCCAUAUGUUGCAGUUUUUUUAAACAGAGUCUUCUUAGAAGACUGCCUUUCUCUGAAGAUCAGUGAGAACCCCUGGAGGAAUUCACAAAGAAACAAGACAGAUUUUUAUUUCCAUCCUAAAAACAAUGGGGAAAAAAACAAAAAUAAUAGGAGUUAAGAGUCUACCUGGGAUGGUAGUGGAAGGAUGUCCCAAGGACCUAAUCAGUCAUUCUCAGGAUGUGAAGGACGCCUGGAAACACAACAGGUCAGUGGCCAGAUGUUCCCUAUCUCAUUCCAGGGCACAGGGGAAAUGCUCUGUGAAGUGGCAUGGCAAACUGUGAGAAAAGCUAUUAAACCAUCUUGCUGCCCAUGCUCCUCUUUCACCCAGACAGAGAUCUAAGGAAAACCCAAACAGAUGCGAAGAAAUAUAGACAAACUUGCCACUUAGUCAACACCAAAGGAGGCAGAGAUGUGUGCAGAG